UACGUAGGGUGCGAGCGUUGUCCGGAAUUAUUGGGCGUAAAGGGCUCGUAGGCGGUUUGUCACGUCGGGAGUGAAAACUCAGGGCUUAACCCUGAGCCUGCUUCCGAUACGGGCAGACUAGAGGUAUGCAGGGGAGAGUGGAAUUCCUGGUGUAGCGGUGAAAUGCGCAGAUAUCGGGAGGAACACCAAUGGCGAAGGCGGCUCGCUGGGACGGUACUGACGCUGAGACGCGAAAGCGUGGGGAGCAAACAGG
rnacentral:rRNA from 1 species